GACGAACGCUGGCGGCGUGCUUAACACAUGCAAGUCGAACGGAAAGGCCCUGCUUUUGUGGGGUGCUCGAGUGGCGAACGGGUGAGUAACACGUGAGUAACCUGCCCUUGACUUUGGGAUAACUUCAGGAAACUGGGGCUAAUACCGGAUAGGAGCUCCUGCUGCAUGGUGGGGGUUGGAAAGUUUCGGCGGUUGGGGAUGGACUCGCGUCUUAUCAGAUUGUUGGUGGGGUAGUGGCUUACCAAGGCUUUGACGGGUAGCCGGCCUGAGAGGGUGACCGGCCACAUUGGGACUGAGCUACGGCCCAGACUCCUACGGGAGGCAGCAGUGGGGAAUAGUGCACAAUGGGCGGAAGCCUGAUGCAGCACCGCCGCGUGCGGGAUGACGGCCUUCGGGUUGUAAACCGCUUUCGCCUGUGACGAAGCGUGAGUGACGGUAAUGGGUAAAGAAGCACCGGCUAACUACGUG
rnacentral:rRNA from 1 species